CCAGCCCUCCCUGUCCCAAGGCCAAGUUUGCUUGGCUAGGAAUCCAGAGGCAGCCAACUUGAGGCAAAGAUCACGGGAAGGAUCAAAUAUUAACUUCAAGCCAGGCACUGAGCGCUCAGGGAUCCGCAGCAGGUCUACUACAUCAGUGAUUGCAUGCCCAUUCUACAGAUGAAGAAGCCGAGGUUCAAGAGAUGAACAGACAAACUCCAACAUCACAAAGGCGGUCAGAAGCAAGCCAGGUGGUGAAGAAUUCGCCUGCCAAUGCAGAGGACACAAGUUCGAUCCCUGGUCCACGAAGAUUCCACGUGCCACAGGGCAACUAAGUCUGUGUACCACAGCUACUGAAGCCAGCACACCCUAAAGUCUGUGCUCCACAAGAGAAGCUGCCGCAAGCAGAGGGGAGCUCCCGCUUGCCACGACUAAAGGAAGCCCGAGUGCAGCGACCAAGACGCAGUGCAGCCAAAAA